AAAAACCAGCCCACACUCUUCCACUCAGCAUUUCAAGGCCGACCAGCACCUGCAGAAAAGAGAAGAAAAGAAAAGAAAAACCCUAGGGAGGAAAAACUAAGGAAAAUUUGUUGAAUUUUCAAGAAAUUGGUGACUAAAGGUGGUGAGCCCUCGGAUAAGGGCAAAGGUAUUGCACCCGAGGAUCGAGACUAGGAGUGUUGUAAAUUCCCGUCAAAGUUCAAGAUAGUCUGUAGGCAGUCGAUUUCAUCAAG